UACGGAGGGAGCUAGCGUUGUUCGGAAAUACUGGGCGUAAAGCGCACGUAGGCGGCGCAGCAAGUCAGGGGUGAAAUCCCGGGGGCUCAACCCCGGAACUGCCCUUGAAACUGCAGUGCUAGAAUUCUGGAGAGGCGAGUGGAAUUCCGAGUGUAGAGGUGAAAUUUUGUAGAUAUUCGGAAGAACACCAGUGGCGAAGGCGACUCGCUGGAACGGUACUGACGCUGAGACGCGAAAACGUGGGGGAGCGAACAGGG
rnacentral:rRNA from 1 species